rnacentral:lncRNA from 1 species
GAAAUUUUAUUCUUAUAAAACUGUGUUUACAAAAGGUAGGAAAUGAUUGGAUAUUCUCUUUAAGAACACGUAUAACAAAGAGAAAAAGCCAGCCUAACCAGGUCAAAGAUGCAGGGGAAAUAACUCAGUACCAGGGGAGCAGCUGAGUAUUUGAAAAGGAAAUCCUGUAAGCAGGAGUACUACAGAAGGGGUGAGAGCCAAAAUUUGCAUGUUAAGUUCUGCAGAAAUCUCCAACUGGCCAGUAAAUUACAAAUGUGCAAAGAAGAGCCCUGUGUGUCUGGUAAAUAUAGACCAAAAAGUCAUAUAGUCCUGAAAGACAGAUUCACCAGGGAUUCCAUCUGUUGAUCUGAUGAUGGUUUUUCACUUGAGAGUUUCUCAGGGUGUCCUGGUUCUUUGUAAGCCACUUUUGCUGCUGCACAGUUAUGCACAAUUCGGGCUGCCAUUAAAGCAAAGAGUAGCUCCUUUCCUGUUCCUCUGGCCGGAAAGACCAUUUCUGAAAUUUGCUGCCUGAACCAAUUGCCCAGAAGCUGGAGCUGCCCUUGGACCAAAGCACAAAGAAAAAAGAGGAGAUAAUUAAUUGGGAAACUCACCCAAUAAAGAUUGUUUAUCAAGUUUGGUCUUUACCAAUUCAUUUAUUAAUUUUCAGAGUAGUUGCUUGUUUAUUUUGGGUAUUUUAUCCAGGGUGUUUGGUUGUGGUCAAUGGGAAAGAUAGAUAUAGUGUUCUUAUUCUAUUUUGUUCACUGCCAGAGUCUGUGGGUAAUUUUGUUAGUCAUCUCCCCCCUUUACCAAAUUUAUUAUAAUGAGCACAAAUAUUAUGUAUGUAUUUAGGAAUAAAUAUAAAAUGAUAAAAAUAGCCUUUGCUUUACAUUUUCUAAAACUGCUUGGCAAAAAAACACUUUUAUAGAAUUUCAGCCCAGCAUAACUGAAAGAAAUAUAGUUUAGUGACUUGUGUAUAUUUAUUAUUGUUUUCAUAUGUAUUCUCUUCCUUAUUAAAUAUAUACUUGUUGCCAGGGUGAAAAUUUUCAGAAUUAAAAUGGAGUCACUAAUGUUAAGAAAUUCCUGACAAAUUGAGUCAAGGAAGUCCAUGAAGGGAGGGCUCUCCCUUGUAUACCUGAUAAAGAAAAAGAUUCUACAAAGACCUUACACAAAGGCCAUUGAAGUAUACAUAUAUG